CCUAAGAGUAAGCUAGAAAUUUGUGUAUUAGUUAUUUCACCUGAAGGACCAGUUGGCAAAGUCUCAAAAGGCAGGAUCUCCUAGGUUAUCAUUUAGAUUGGGGUGGCCAAAAGGGAUUGAAUAUCUGCAGAACAUGGCUAAAGGACUGUUUAUACCAAGUGGGUUCCUCCUUCCUGUGGAUGCUUCAUGUUUCUGUCAGAAGCAGUAGGAAAAUGGCUCCCACCUUUCUUCUGCCUUCCAAAAUUUAACUCAAGGACACCUAAUAAGCUGAAUCUAAUUGCAAAGGAACCAGAUUUCCUACCUCUCCAACUAGAAAGAAGUUAAUCAGAGACUAAGAGGCUCAUCCAAAUGGCCCACCAAUUUAAUGUAUUGGGGACUUUCCAUUUCAGUUUGUUAUCUGUUCUGAUACCUAUUUCUGUCUGUGUAGCUAAUAGUAAGCACUAAGAGCCUUUCUUCAUUGACCUUUUCAUUUUUUAAAUAUUUUCUUGAAUAUUUU
rnacentral:lncRNA from 1 species